rnacentral:rRNA from 1 species
CUCUUCGGGGAUGAUUAAACCGGCGCACGGGUGAGUAACACGUGAGUGACCUGCCUUUUAGACUGGAACAACUUACCGAAAGGUGAGCUAAUGCCGGAUGAGUUAUAUAAGUGCAUGUUUAUAUAGGAAAAGUUGGGGAGACCUGACGCUGAAAGAUGGACUCGCGUCCCAUUAGCUAGUUGGUAGGGUAAUGGCCUACCAAGGCGACGAUGGGUAGCCGGCCUGAGAGGGUGGCCGGCCACACUGGGACUGAGACACGGCCCAGACUCCUACGGGAGGCAGCAGUGGGGAAUUUUGCGCAAUGCUCGUAAGAGUGACGCAGCGACGCCGCGUGAAUGACGAAGGCCUUCGGGUCGUAAAGUUCUUUCGACAGGGAAGAAAAUGCCUAUAAGUAACUGUGUAUGUAUUGACGGUACCUGUAUAAGCAGCCCCGGCUAACUCCGUGCCAGCAGCCGCGGUAAUACGGAGGGGGCGAGCGUUGUUCGGAGUGACUGGGCGUAAAGAGCACGUAGGCGGUGUUGUAAGUCAUUAGUCAAAGACUAGAGCUCAACUUUAGUAAGGCUAGUGAUACUAUAAUACUAGAGUAUCAGAGAGGAUUGCAGAAUUCCUGGUGUAGCGGUGAAAUGCGUAGAUAUCAGGAGGAAUACCGUUAGCGAAGGCGGCAAUCUGGCUGGAAACUGACGCUGAGGUGCGAAAGCGUGGGUAGCAAACAGGAUUAGAUACCCUGGUAGUCCACGCUGUAAACGAUGGAUGCUAGGUGUUGGG